rnacentral:rRNA from 1 species
GAACGGCCUCACGACGAAUGGAGCCGGCCGAUGUCAGUAUUAGCUAGUUGGUGGGUAAAGGCCCACCAAGGCGACGAUCUGUAGCGGGUCUGAGAGGAUGAUCCGCCACACUGGGACUGAGACACGGCCCAGACUCCUACGGGAGGCAGCAGUGGGGAAUUUUGGACAAUGGGCGCAAGCCUGAUCCAGCCAUGCCGCGUGCGGGACGAAGGCCUUCGGGUUGUAAACCGCUUUCAGCCGGAAAGAAAUCGCCGUUUUAAUACAGACGGUGGAUGACGGUACCGGAAGAAGAAGCACCGGCUAACUACGUG